rnacentral:rRNA from 1 species
CAGCCGCCGCGGGAAUACGUAGGGUGCGAGCGUUAAUCGGAUUUACUGGGCGUAAAGCGUGCGCAGGCGGCCCGUUAAGACAGGUGUGAAAUCCCUGGGCUCAACCUAGGAAUUGCGCUUGUGACUGGCGGGCUCGAGUACGGUAGAGGGGGGUGGAAUUCCUGGUGUAGCAGUGAAAUGCGUAGAGAUCAGGAGGAACACCGAUGGCGAAGGCAGCCCCCUGGGCCUGUACUGACGCUCAUGCACGAAAGCGUGGGGAGCAAACAGGAUUAGAUACCCCCGUAGUCCCUGUCUCUUAUAC